GACUAGGUCUCACUAUGUGGGUCAGAAUACCUUGAGCUUCUGGACUCAGAUCAGAAGCUGAGAUCUCCUGAGCACACACACUGGCAGAGCAGGCUCCUUGACCCUGACCAUGCUUCCCAUGGACUCCUGGCCACACUCUCCUCACAGUGUCCUGCUGCUGACCCUGCUGCUGGGACUUACAGACAGGUUCCACUGUGCAGCAUUAUCUGUCCCAGGACUUCCUGUAUAUACCAGGUUGGCCUCAAAUUUACAGAGAUACACUGGCCUCUGAUUCUCUAGUGCUGAGAUUAAAGCUGUGCACCACCAUGCUAGGCUCUACUUCUUAUGCUUUUCACAGAUAAUUAUAAAAUGUGUGAAAAACAAUGUGAGCCCCUCUUCUCUGUAUGAAAUUCCUAUUUUGAAUGCAUUUGCCUAUUUUUAAUCUAUUCUCUUGGAGUUGACCAUCACUGCUCACUUUAGUUCAUGUUCUCUGGUGAUAUUCUGGCUCAUAAACUACCAACCUAUUGAUGUUCUCUGUUGAGCUGUGCCUAAUUUAGGAAUAAAAAUUAUUCUCAUUUCUAUUUUUCUCAAAGU